UGAAUGAUGUCAGCCUGAUGGAAGGGGACAAUGGGUGGAUCCCUGAGACCUUGGAGGAAUGGAAGCUUCUCCUACAUCUACUACAGAACAAGAACACAAGGCCAGCUCCUCAGGAGUCACUAAAUGGGAGCCUCAGUGAUGGGCCUACCCCCAUCAAUGUGGAGAAUGUGGCACUCCUGUUAGCUAAGGCCAUGGGCCCAGAUAGGGCCUGGUCACUGCUACAGGAGUGCGGUCUGGCCCUUGAGUUGUCAGAAAAGUUUACCAGAACCUGUGACAUCCUGAGGAUUGCUGAGAGAAGGCAGAGAGCGCUGAUACAAGGCAUGCUUGAGAAGUGCGACCGGUUCCUCUGGUCACAGCAGGCCUAGUGGGAGAUGUACUCUGACCAAGUGGAAUCCUGCUCUAGAACCUUCAGAGGGCUUUGGCACAGAAGGAAAGAGGACAUCCCAAGCCACGCCAUGACCGGAAGGACCGUGCCAUGCUGCUGCAGCUGCUGAUGCCUCACCACCGCCUUGGCCCUCGGUUUCUGUGGCUCUGUGACGUCAGAAUCUCUCAAGGAAAGCCAGCUUUCAGAAGCAGCGGGUUGUCUGGAAGCAGCAUGGGGUGCUCCCUGCUGUGUGGAAUUUACUGUGUACAGUGAAUCAGGGAAUUGGUUUCUACUGAGGCAGAUCUGUGGGUGCCGCAGCUUUGUUACAGAAGACAGAUAAUGUUCUAAUCUGCAGUUUAGUACCUUUUCCUUUCCGUUUGUCUGAGGUGACUACAGAUUACUGAGUGAGGACCCGGAACAAUGACACCGUUCCUGUCGGCAUAUGUAAUAAAUACUAAAGAUACAAACCAGAGUUUUAAGUAAGAUUACCAUAUCUGAGUUGAGCUCAGUUUAAAGUAUUUUUCCAGUAUUUAUUUGAUAUCUCCUUCCUUCCUUCCUUCCUUCCUGGUGGAAACAGGGUCUUGAUCUGUAGCCCUCGCUAGCCUGGAGGGCGCAGGUUUGCAAGGCUGUCUCAGGCUGUCUCGACUUUACAGAUCUCCAGCCUCCAGGAUGUUAAGAUUAAGGGUGUGUGCCAUCACACACAUUUUUAACAUUUAUUUUUAAAAAGCCAUAGUAAGAGAAAGCCAUGUACUAAUAUAAAUUAUAGCAAAUGAUUGUAUUAGUCAAGCCAUGUAACUAGAUUGCAUUUCUGAGGCUUUCUGUAGCCUCUUGCAUUGGUAAUAAACAAUGAAGUUUCUUUAAGCAG
rnacentral:lncRNA from 1 species